rfam:Shewanella baltica OS195, complete genome.
AGGACAUAACUAUGUGUUUUAAAGACGGUUUGAUUUAAUUUUUUAUUGAUAAUUGGAUUAGUAACUAGGCGAAUAGAUGAAAUGCAGAAAAAGAAAUGGUACACCCGAGUGGACUCGAACCACCGACCCCUACCA